rnacentral:misc_RNA from 1 species
CCAAACUUGGUCAUUUAGAGGAAGUAAAAGUCGUAACAAGGUUUCCGUAGGUGAACCUGCGGAAGGAUCAUUAUUGAAUAAACCUGUGUAGGUUGUUGCUGGCCUCUUCGGAGGUAGGUGCACGCCUGCCACUGUUUCAUUCAUACCUUCCACCUGUGCACUCUCUGUAGGCUAUGCUGUCAUUCUUUCGGGUUCCUGUAUCCCGGUGUUAGGGAAUGCUCUUUGGGCUUUUCUUGGAUGGCUGUGCCUACGUCUUCAUUAACCCUGUUGUAUGUAAAUGAAUGUGUGUCCGGGCUUUCAUUGCCCAUAAAAUCUUAUACAACUUUCAACAACGGAUCUCUUGGCUCUCGCAUCGAUGAAGAACGCAGC